AGCGAACGCUGGCGGCAGGCCUAACACAUGCAAGUCGAACGAAGUCUUCGGACUUAGUGGCGGACGGGUGAGUAACACGUGGGAACGUGCCUUUAGGUUCGGAAUACCGCAGGGAAACUUGUGCUAAUACCGAAUGUGCCCUUCGGGGGAAAGAUUUAUCGCCUUUAGAGCGGCCCGCGUCUGAUUAGCUAGUGGGUGAGGUAAAGGCUCACCAAGGCGACGAUCAGUAUCUGGUCUGAGAGGAUGAUCAGCCACAUUGGGACUGAGACACGGCCCAAACUCCUACGGGAGGCAGCAGUGGGGAAUCUUGCGCAAUGGGCGAAAGCCUGACGCAGCCAUGCCGCGUGAAUGAUGAAGGUCUUAGGAUUGUAAAAUUCUUUCACCGGGGACGAUAAUGACGGUACCCGGAGAAGAAGCCCCGGCUAACUUCGUGCCAGCCGCCGCGGUAAUAC
rnacentral:rRNA from 1 species